GCCGGGGCGCGGGGGGGCGCAAACUCGGCGCCGUCGGGGCUGCAGCUUCCGACCCCAAACGGGAGGGUGUCCCGGCCCCCGAGUGGUGUCCGCCUUCCUCCUCGACGUGCACGGGAAAAUGUCCUCGCUGGUGAAAUGUGACGUGACCUCCAGUUAAGAUCGCCACGGGAAAGUUUUCAAUGCCGCUGCUCGCAAACUUUGAUGCCGUAGCCUGAUGUUACAUUUCUGUCUCCUUUUAAGGAUAAGCUCGUUAUACGAGGACGUUUUCUUUUUAAAAUGAUUUUUGCAUUAUCUGGUUCAAAUAGGAGAUUUUUAAGCUAAUCUUGGAUGAUUUUUAAGUGCAUGCUAAUUGGAGUGACGUUAUGUAAACCUGUGUGAACUGUUCACAGUAAAUGUUGAGGCCUUCAAAAUACAAGGCGUUGAUUCCAUGCCAGUGAGGGACACGGAAGAUGUCUGUUCCGUGCCUGUGAGGGACAAAGAAGAUGUUUCUUCUGAAUACAAUUGACUCAGUUACCUGAGUUGUGUCUGAAAUGGAAAGCUUACGGCAAUAAAAAUAACCCUUCUGGAUACUGUGUAUACAUUAUCUCUUUUCAUCCUUAUGAGGCUGAUACUGGCAUCCCCGUUGCACAGAUGAGAAAGCCACAUCUUCGCGUUAAUGGCCUGCUUCAGUCGGACCUAUGCCGAGCAGUUCACAUGGACUAUCUUGCUUCGCAUCACAAUAUCCCUGAAAGAUGGCUACCAUAUUAAAGAUGGCGACACCAAGGGUGAAGAUCCCCAAAUGGUUGUUCUAAGAGGAAAAGUAGCUUUUCUACAGUUGAGCCCUAAAGGCUGUCCUGAGGUUCUGCCUCAGAAUCUCACUCGGGAUUUUUCAUUUCUUCCCUCUGCUGUGUCCCAAGGACUGGCCUGCUCUCCUCCCUCUUGAAGGAGGCAUCGUCCACCCACGGGGUGAGGAGAGGUGUUGUGAAGGCGGCUGGAGCAUCCCCAUCUCUGUGAUGCCACCUUCCUUGUUAACCUUCAAUACAAUCAUGUAAACUGGGUUUGUUUUUAGUUUCAAGAAUUUCACUGCUGACGUAUGAGGAAAGAGAUGGGAUAAUAAAAUUAACAAAUGGGGUUAUUAUACACA